ensembl:lncRNA
UCCGGAGUAGGGACUCGGCUGGACGGCGGCGGCGGGAGGGAACCUGUGGGCGCGGAGUGCGUGCAGGGUAGGCUCCCGGGGCGCGCGGGCGCAGGGCAGGGACUGAGAGGCAGUGGCGCGGACCGCCUGCGAGGGCAAGGUGGGGCGGGCCGGACGAGCGGGGCGGGGCGAGCUGCUGCCUAAUCCUUUGUCUGCCGCGUCCCAGCCCUUCCCGGAAGCGGCGUCUUCCUAGAACCGCAGGCUGAGCGGUGGGGCCCGGGCCGGGUGCGCGGGCGCCGUCGCCGGGUCUGGGGCCCUGAGCAGUGAAAGGAAAUACUUUGACAGAUUUCCAAGAACUUUCCAGGAAAACGGGGCGGGGCCCUGCGAGACGACCAAUCACGACGCUGAAGGUGGAGCCGAGCGGUCGGGGAGGGCCAAUAGCAGCGCGUGGACCCGGGGCUGACGCUACCCAGCGGGGGAGUACUUGCUGUAUUUGAUCCUCUACAACUGGUGUUGCUCCCAUUAUGCAGACGGAAGACAGCCCCAGGGAACAAAUGCUAGGAAAUGGCAGGGUGUGGAAACUGAGGCAUGGAGAGGUUACAAUAUACCCUAGAUCUCCCAACUGGCAAGUAAUGGUUGAAGUCAGGAGCCUACACACUUCCUCCUACUUCCUCUGUGGGUGCUGGUGAUCUGCCAACUCCUAGACAUCCAGCUUUAAGGUCCUCAGUGAAGCUUCUCUGCCCCCAGGCCUGUCAAUGUGAGAGCACCAUGGGUGUCCCUUUGAAAGUAUCUCCUACAGAGGUCAGUGAUUAUGCGGUCUAUGCGUAAACCAAAGGAUCCCAAGGGUUUUGGCCUUCCAACUAGUUUUGUGUGUGUGUGACUAUGACAGCACUGCACACCUCACCUGCAUGCUGGAAAUAGUGAUGUCCCCCUGUUCUGCCCCAAGUGCCUGCCUCAGGCAUUGUGGGUCCCUCUGGUCAACUUAGUACUUAAUUCUCCUGCCCUGGUUGCUCCCUAGAAGCCCUGGCUCUGAUUGCUGAGCCCACACUGCCACCUAGCGGUGGCCCCUCUCAUGCCCUCACUAGCCAAAUCUCCAUAGAUUCCUCCCUUCUAGGAUACCCUCCCCUGCACUCCAGGGAUUGACCUUACUGCAAGAUUCCCCUGCCCCUCCCUACCCAGAACAAUCACAAGAUGAGUCACAAGAAUACACAGCAGUGCCUUCCCCAAAGUCUCCCUCAUUUGGCCUCCAUCCUGUCAUCAUGUGCAGCCUCCCCUCUCCAGGAAGGACAGAAUGUGUUUGUGUGUGUGUGUGUGUGUGUGUGUGUGUAGGAUUUAGCCACCUUCACUUUAAGCUAUUCCAAAGUCUCUGUCCCCUUGGACACACAGCUAUAUGAAGGGCUGUGUGGCAGAGUCUGCCACCAUGAACCCACUCCUCACCAGGCCUAGCCAUCCCACAUGCCAAAUCCUCCCAUCAUAGUGGAGGGGAUGUGGCAGGUGGUUGCUGGAACAUGAGCACUAAGGGAAAACCACAUAUUCUGACUUUCCUGGGCUAAGUGAGUAGUUGCAAGUCAUCUCUCUGAUGGACCCAUGGGGGGAAUACAUGUGCCUAUGGAAGCAUGGACACUGGUUAUAGGGACUGGGAGGGGAGAAGCAGCACCUUUGCUUACUUUUCAUACUUCUGUAUAAUUUGAAUUAAUGACAAUGAGCAAGUUUUACUUAUGCAACUUAAAAUUUUAAUAAAAAGAGACAAGCUUAAAAAUACA